AACGAACGCUGGCGGCAGGCCUAACACAUGCAAGUCGAACGGCCCUUCGGGGUAGUGGCGGACGGGUGAGUAACGCGUGGGAAUGUGCCCUUUGGUACGGAACAACUGAGGGAAACUUCAGCUAAUACCGUAUGUGCCCUUCGGGGGAAAGAUUUAUCGCCAUUGGAGCAGCCCGCGUUGGAUUAGGUAGUUGGUGGGGUAAAGGCCUACCAAGCCUACGAUCCAUAGCUGGUCUGAGAGGAUGAUCAGCCACAUUGGGACUGAGACACGGCCCAAACUCCUACGGGAGGCAGCAGUGGGGAAUCUUGCGCAAUGGGCGAAAGCCUGACGCAGCCAUGCCGCGUGUAUGAUGAAGGUCUUAGGAUUGUAAAUACUUUCACCGGGGAAGAUAAUGACGGUACCCGGAGAAGAAGCCCCGGCUAACUUCGUGCCAGCAGCCGCGGUAAU
rnacentral:rRNA from 1 species